AGCCAGUGUGGUCUAGUGGUUUGAGUGUUGAGCUAGGAUAUUGGAAGACCAGGGUUUGAAUCCCUGCUUGGCUA